UGGGUGGAUUUAGAAAACACUCUUCCUCGUGACAAUAAAAAAAAAAGACUUCCACUAGGUUUUCUAUCUGCUACUUUGCUAGCUCAGUCUACUGGGGACAUUU
rnacentral:snoRNA from 1 species